GUGCUCACUUCGGCAGCACAUAUACUAAAAUUAGAACAAUACAGAGAAGAUUAGCAUGGCCCCUGUGCAAGGAUGACACACAAAUUCAUGAAGCGUUCCAUAUCUUU
rnacentral:snRNA from 1 species